rfam:Sus scrofa chromosome 11.
UUCCUGGUGGCCUAGAGGUUAAGGACUUGGCAUUGCCACUGCUGUGGCUCAGGUUCGAUCCCUGGCCUGGGAA